AAAAAAAAAAAAAGUAGCCAGGCAUGAUGAUGUGCACCUGUAAUCCCAGCUACUCAGGAGGCUGAGGCAGGGGAAUUACUUGAACCUGGGAGGCAGAGGUUGCAGUGAGCCAAGAUCACACUACUGCACUCCAGCCUGAGUGACAGAGUGAAACUCUGUCUCAAAAAAAAAAAAGUUUAAUUAAAAAAAAAAAAGGAAUGAUUUUUCCUUUCCAGUAUCACUGGAAAAGCAGAGUCAUCUAGUAAACUCUGUUAGUAACAUGCAAUUAAACUGAACAAAAUUAAACACAUCUCACAUGACUGUCAUAGGUUCCCUCUGCAGAGCUGAAUCAUAUCUACAAAAGCAAACUCCCCUAGGAGAAUAAUAGAAACUUGAAAAAUGAGAGGAAGGCUCAUGGUUAGAGACCCAGCAGGAGAGGAGCUCGGAGGUUAACCACGGCCUGAAUUCCGAACAUGCUGAAAUAAUAAAAUGUUUUCGGUCCACCAAGUGUUUACUUAGUGUCUUCAGCAUUGCCUCUGAGGCUCCAGUGGUCCUGAGGGAAGGCUGAAGACCACAGGACUAAAUGCCUCCCCCAGCAUGUUGCUCAUUUCUGGCAAAACUGGGGCCAGAACCCAGCCCUCCUGACACAGGAUGGUGCUUGUUUCUCCCUUCAGGUUUUUCUUCAGCGCUGAAUGGUGUGUGUGGUAUACUUCAGGCUAUAAAACAAAGCAAGAUGUCCGGCGGCUGGCUUCGUUGUGAACUAUGGUUAAACGUCAUCCUGAUUUGAUCUUUUGCCACAAGCAGUCUGGUGUUGCCAUUGCAAGACUGUGUGAAAAAUGUGAUGGCAAGUGUGUGAUUUGUGACUCCUCUGUGUGUCCCUGCACUCUGGUGUGCAUAUGUGAUGAGUGUAACUAUGGAUCUUACCAGGGGCGCUGUGUGAUCUGUGGAGGCCCUGGGGUCUCUGGUGUCUAUUAUUGUAAGGAGUGUACCAUCCAGUAGAAGGAUAGAGAUGGCUGCAGAAAGAUUGUUAGUUUGGGGAGCUCUAAGACAGAUCUCUUCUGUGAAUGCAAAAAAUAUGGCUUCAAGAAGAGGUGAUUGGUCACUUCUUUCCCUCCACAUCAAGCUGCUGCAGCUACCAGAAAAGAUGCCUACUACUAUCAGCAGAAAGGGAGCAGAGCACAAUGCAUCACCAGGAGUGUCUGCUAGUGUACUGGCAGCUUGCCACUCUCCUCUCACCCAGACAUGUGGUAUGGAUGGAGAAGGAUUCUUCACAGAGCACUCUGGCACACGGUAUCGGAGAAAAAUUGAUACAUUAGUAGCGUAUCUUGAAUUUGAGAAGCAAAGAUCUUCUCUCCAUAUUGAUAUGUUCUUCCACAACCAGGAUCUUCUAAAAAGAAAUAAUAUUUUAGUCUUCUGCUUGAGGAGUUGA
rnacentral:lncRNA from 13 species